GAGAAAGCUACCAAAGGGCAUACGGUGGAUGUCUUGGCGUCCAGAGGCGAUGAAGGACGUUGGAACCUGCGAUAUGCCUCGGGGAGCCGGUAACCAGGCUUUGAUCCGAGGAUCUCCGAAUGGGGAAACCCGGCCCGUAAGGGUCACCUGCACCUGAAUGCAUAGGGUGUAGGAGCGAACCCGGUGAACUGAAACAUCUCAGUAACCGGAGGAAAGGAAAGCAAAAUGCGACUCCGUAAGUAGCGGCGAGCGAAAGCGGAUAAACCAGUAGCUGCGUGAACGACUUGGAAAGGUCGACCACAGAAGGUGAUAGUCCUGUACUGCAGUAGCUGGCCAGCCCUAGAGUAGCGCGGUGCUCGUGAAACUCCGCGUGAACAUGGGGGGUCCACCCUCCAAGGCUAAGUACUCCUGGACGACCGAUAGUGAACCAGUAAGGUGACUGAAUGAUGAAAAGCACCCCGAUAAGGGGAGUGAAAAGUACCUGAAACCGUAUGCUUACAAGCUGUGGGAGCCCACUUCGGUGGGUGACCGCGUGCCUUUUGCAUAAUGAGCCUGCGAGUUACUCUCUGUGGCAAGGUUAAGUCGAAACACGACGUAGCCGAAGGGAAACCGAGUCCGAAAUGGGCGUCGAGUCGCAGGGGGUAGACGCGAAACCGGGUGAUCUACCCAUGGGCAGGUUGAAGGAGGGGUAAAACCCUCUGGAGGACCGAACACACCUACGUUGAAAAGUGGGGUGAUGACCUGUGGGGAGGAGUUAAAGUCUAAUCAAACCCGGAGAUAUCUCGUUCUCUCCGAAAUAGCUUUAGGGCUAGCCUUGCGUUACAGCGUGUGGGGGUAGAGCUACUGGAUGGGGCUGAGGGGCUUAUCGCCUACUCACUCCAACCAAACUCCGAAUACCACACGCCUCUGUCGCGGGAGUCAGACUGUGGGAGAUAAUUUCCACGGUCGAAAGGGAAACAGCCCAGACCGCCAGUUAAGGUCCCUGAUCAAACCUCAGUUUCUAAGGAAGUCGAAUUGCUGAGACAGCCAGGAUGUUGGCUUAGAAGCAGCCACCAUUUAAAGAGUGCGUAACAGCUCACUGGUCGAGGAAUUCGGCGCCGAUAAUGAUCGGGAAUAAGGUUUGAACCGAAACUGCGGAAUCGUAAGAUUGGUAGGAGAGCGUUCCUGUCGGCGUUGAAGGCAUCCCGGAAGGGUUGCUGGAGCGGCAGGAAGUGAAUAUGCAGGCUUGAGUAACGAUAAAUGGAGUGAGAAUCUCCAUCGCCGAAAACCUAAGGUUUCCUGGGGAAGGUAAAUCCGCCCAGGGUUAGGCGGGACCUAAGGCGAGGCCGAAAGGCGUAGUCGAUGGACAGCAGGUUAAUAUUCCUGCCCCAUCAUGGAAGGUUGAUCCAGCGUGACGGAUCUUGAAGUUCAACGGGACAGUGAAGCGUCCAGGCCCUAGAGGCCGGUGUUGGGUGGAUAGGUUCCAAGAAAAGCCGUCUGGUGACGACCAUGAUGCCCGUACUAAAACUGACACAGGUAGGUGUGGCGAAAAGCCUCAGGCGCUCGAGAAAAUGGUUGUGAAGGAACUAGGCAAAUUGACCCCGUAAGUUCGCAAUAAGGGGGCCCUACUGGCAACAGAGGGCGCAGAGAAAAGGCUCUGGCGACUGUUUAUCAAAAACACAGCACUGUGCGAACACGCAAGUGGACGUAUACAGUGUGACGCCUGCUCGGUGCCGGAAUGUUAAGGAAGUGGGUUAGCUUCGGCGAAGCUCACGACUGAAGCACCGGUAAACAGCGGCCGUAACUAUGACGGUCCUAAGGUAGCGAAGUUCCUUGUCGGGUAAGUUCCGACGUGCAUGAAUGGCGUAACGACUGGAGCACUGUCUCCACAACCAACUCGGUGAAAUAGAAGUGGCGGUGAAGAUACCGCCUCCCCGCAGCAAGACGGAAAGACCCCGUGGACCUUUACUGCAGGCAUAUAUUGGUCAUGGAUGGAUACUGCGCAGGAUAGGUGGGAGGCUUUGAAGUGGAGGUUUCGGCCUUCGUGGAGCCAACCUUGAAAUACCACCCUGUAUGUAUUUGUGGCCUAACCCCGAAUCCCAUGAAGCUGGGCGGGGGACCGUGUAUGCUGGGCGGUUUGACUGGGGCGGUCUCCUCCUAAAGAGUAACGGAGGAGCGCAAAGGUCGGCUCAGCGCGGUUGGAAACCGCGUGUAGAGUGUAAGAGCACAAGCUGGCUUUACUGCGAGACAUACAGGUCAAGCAGUCUCGAAAGAGGGCUCUAGUGAUCCUGCGAUCCCGUGUGGAAGGGUCGUAGCUCAACGGAUAAAAGGUACCCCGGGGAUAACAGGCUUAUCGCUCCCGAGCGUCCAUAGCGGCGGAGCGGUUUGGCACCUCGAUGUCGGCUCAUCGCAUCCUGGGGCUGUAGGCGGUCCCAAGGGUUGGGCUGUUCGCCCAUUAAAGCGGUACGCGAGCUGGGUUCAGACCGGCGUGAGCCAGGUCGGUCCCUAUCUGCUGUGGGCGUUGCAAUAUUGACCGGAGUUCUCCCUAGUACGAGAGGAUUGGGAGGGACUCACCCCUGGUGUGCCAGCUGGACCGCUCGGUCCAUCGCUGGGUAGCUAAGUGAGGCAGGGAUAACCGCUGAAAGCAUCUAAGCGGGAAGCCCCCCGGAAGAUGAGUAUUGCACGUCUUUAUUGACGAGAGACCCCUGGAAGACCACCAGGUUGAUCGGCCGCAUGUGUAAGGGUAGAAAUACCUUCAGCAAAGCGGUACGAAUGGUCGACGGCUUUCUCGU
rnacentral:rRNA from 1 species